AGAGCUUAACUCUGGAACUGCCAUUAAAACUUUUCAGCUAGAGUAUGAUAGAGGAAAGCAGAAUUUCUAGUGUAGAGGUGAAAUUCGUAGAUAUUAGAAAGAAUACCAAUUGCGAAGGCAGCUUUCUGGAUCAUUACUGACACUGAGGAACGAAAGCAUGGGUAGCGAAGAGGAUUAGAUACCCUCGUAGUCCAUGCCGUAAACGAUGUGUGUUAGACGUUGGAAAUUUAUUUUCAGUGUCGCAGCGAAAGCGAUAAACACACCGCCUGGGGAGUACGACCGCAAGGUUAAAACUCAAAUGAAUUGACGGGGACCCGCACAAGUAGUGGAGCAUGUGGUUUAAUUCGAAGAUACGCGCAGAACCUUACCAACACUUGACAUGUUCGUCGCGACUCUAAGAGAUUAGAGUUUUCGGUUCGGCCGGACGAAACACAGGUGCUGCAUGGCUGUCGUCAGCUCGUGUCGUGAGAUGUUGGGUUAAGUCCCGCAACGAGCGCAACCCUCACUUUUAGUUGCCAUCAUUAAGUUGGGCACUCUGAAAGAACUGCCAGUGAUAAGCUGGAGGAAGGUGGGGAUGACGUCAAGUCCUCAUGGCCCUUACGUGUUGGGCUACACACGUGCUACAAUGGUAUCUACAACAGGAAGCAAGACUGCGAGGUCAAGCAAAUCCUUAAAAGAUACUUCAGUUCGGAUUGCACUCUGCAACUCGAGUGCAUGAAGCUGGAAUUACUAGUAAUCGUGGAUCAGCGUGCCACGGUGAAUGCGUUCCCGGGUCUUGUACACACCGCCCGUCACACCAUGGGAGUUGGUUCUACCUUAAGGCAAGGUUUAAAACCCUUGACCACGGUAUAGUCAGCGACUGGGGUGAAGUCGUAACAAGGUAGCCGUA
rnacentral:rRNA from 1 species